UGAGCAAUCUGCCCUUCUCUUCGGAAUAAGCGUGGGAAACCGCGUCUAAUGCCGAAUACGACCUCCUUUCGCAUGAUCGGAGGUGGAAAGCUCCGGCGGAGAAGGAUGAGCUCGCGGCCUAUCAGCUAGUUGGUGUGGGUAAUGGCCCACAAGGCGACGACGGGUAGCCGGCCUGAGAGGGUGACCGGCCACACUGGGACUGAGACACGGCCCAGACUCCGUACGGGAGGCAGCG
rnacentral:rRNA from 1 species